GGGGAGGGGGGGGGACGCAUCAUCACAACGCACUUACGUUACCACGACGAUCACUACUGUUACCAUGGAUACCACUACUAUCAGCAUUGUUACCACGACUACCACUACUAUCCCCAUGACUCAGUACCAUCCCCACCACCACCACCACCACACAACUACCACUUCUAGUACAUACCGAUUAUUAAAUACAUGUUAUAUUCAGACUGUUAAUAUUGUAUAGUUUAAUUGAGGUUCUAAAGAUGUGAUCACACCGUUCUGAUAGUUAAGAUGUGAUCACACUUUCUGAUUGUUAAAAGGUGACCACAUCCAUUCUGAUUGUUAAAAGGUGACCACAUCCAUUCUGAUUUUUAAAAUGUGAACGCAUCCAUUCUGAUUGUCGAAAGGUGAUCACACCCAUUCUGAUUGUUAAGAUGUGAUCACACAUUCUGAUUGUUAAAAGGUGAUCACACCCAUUCUGAUUGUUAAGAUGUGAUCACACAUUCUGAUUGUUAAAAGGUGGUCACAUCCAUUCUGAUUGUUGUUAGGAUGUGAUCUCAUCCAUUCUGAUUUAAAAUGUUAUAACCACAUCCAUUCUGAUUUAAAAUGUUGUAAUUACAUCCAUUCUGAUUGGUAAAUGGGAUCAUCACCUCCAUUCUGAUGAUCUUUGAUCAGCUGAUUGUAUUCUGAUAUAUCGUGGAUAUAUAUUGAUCACAGAACAGCAAUGCUUUUCUCCGGCUGAAAAUUCCUCUGAAUGUGAUUGGAUAUGAACAAAUUAACCAAUGGAGGUUAAACAUGCGACAUGAAGUGUAAUUGGUGGAAAUUCAUGAUUCCCAAAUGUUCAAUGUAAGGGUGAUGGUUAACUGAUGAAUAAAACUAAAUUCUUCAAAUUAAAA